rnacentral:rRNA from 1 species
GACGAACGCUGGCGGCGUGCCUAAUACAUGCAAGUAGAACGCUGAAGAGAGGAGCUUACUCUUCUUGGAUGAGUUGCGAACGGGUGAGUAACGCGUAGGUAACCUGCCUUGUAGCGGGGGAUAACUAUUGGAAACGAUAGCUAAUACCGCAUAACAAUGGAUGACACAUGUCAUUUAUUUGAAAGGGGCAAUUGCUCCACUACAAGAUGGACCUGCGUUGUAUUAGCUAGUAGGUGAGGUAAUGGCUCACCUAGGCGACGAUACAUAGCCGACCUGAGAGGGUGAUCGGCCACACUGGGACUGAGACACGGGCCAGACUCCUACGGGAGGCAGCAGUAGGGAAUCUUCGGCAAUGGGGGCAACCCUGACCGAGCAACGCCGCGUGAGUGAAGAAGGUUUUCGGAUCGUAAAGCUCUGUUGUAAGUCAAGAACGGGUGUGAGAGUGGAAAGUUCACACUGUGACGGUAGCUUACCAGAAAGGGACGGCUAACUACGUG